UACGAAGGUCCCGAGCGUUUAUCCGGAUUUAUUGGGUUUAAAGGGUGCGUAGGCGGGCUAUUAAGUCAGUGGUGAAAGCCUACAGCUUAACUGUAGAAUUGCCAUUGAUACUGAUAGUCUUGAGUAUGAUUGAGGUGGGCGGAAUGUGUCAUGUAGCGGUGAAAUGCUUAGAUAUGACACAGAACACCGAUUGCGAAGGCAGCUCACUAAGCCAUAACUGACGCUGAUGCACGAAAGCGUGGGGAGCAAACAGG
rnacentral:rRNA from 1 species